rnacentral:misc_RNA from 1 species
AACUUUUGGCAAUGGAUCUCUUGGCUCUCGCAUCGAUGAAGAACGCAGCGAAGCGCGAAAUGUAAUGUGAAUCGCAGAACAUUGUGAAUCAUCGAAUCUUUGAACGCACAUUGCGCCUCCCUGAGAGGGGAGGCAUGCCUGUCUGAGCGUCGUUCGAAUCAAAUGCAAGAGGGCGUCUUUCUCUCGCGAGGAGGCGUGCCCCCAUGCGUCUUGGGCCCAUCCGUCGUCGACCCGCUAGUCGGGACGACGUGGCCUCGAAUGGAUAGUUCCUGUGUAGAACGGACGAGCUCCCCUGGGACAACGGACCGUUUGAAGGACUCAUGAGAAAGGGGUAAUUCCCUGAACCUUUCGACCUCAGAUCAGGUAGGACCACCGCCUGAACUUAAGCAUAUCAAUAAGCGGAGGCU